UCAGGUUCUUGAGCGGUGAGGCCAGAGCGCUGAGUUCAGAGCUCAGCAAUCUGAGCAAAACGGUCAGACCCUUGGGUUCCGAGCCCAGCAGUCUGAGC
rnacentral:tRNA from 1 species